GGGGAGAUUAACCUAAAAUGACUCAUCUGGGUUCUUGACAAAUGUAUACAUGGAAUGAUUUUAAAUUUUGCGCCUUUAGAUUGAUCAUGUUGGUACUCAGCAACAGCAAGAUGGAGUGUUAUUCUGGUUUACAAGCGUUUUGUGUAAACGUGUUUUCUGUUGCUCCUGUUAUGGUUUUACAGUCACAGUUUAUUACAGUUUUCAGUGUAUGUUUUGUGAUCGUUUAUUGAAUCAGAUAUCCAGUGAAGAAUUUGGAAGUAAUCCAUAAUUAAUGCUAAUUGCUUCCAUCCGUGUUUCUUUUGCACGUUAAGCCAACUUGGGUCAAAAGACAUGAUACUUCCAUUAUUUCACAUUAAAUGUUACAUGGGGCCUCGGACUGGUGCUAAUUCAUUGGGACAACCUGAGUGAAGGAAAAUGGACGUGACAUUUGGAACCUGGAUUACAAGGAGUCUCUAUGGGGCAGGUUCACUGGCAACAGUUGCAAGAGCAUUAAUAAGGAACAAAAAGUCUUGCAGGUUGUGACUGCAUGAAUGGAUGUGGUGGUUGCUGCGGACCCAUGUGCUGAUGAGGUGAUCUGUAACUGGCAGCAGGACCCUGUGGCCCCAUGGGUGGCUGCUGCAUUUUAGGUAUGUGAGCUGGUGGAGGACCCAUAGAGCCAUUCAUAUACUGAGAUGGUGGCAAGGACCCAUGCUGUUGCUGUCCAGGGGGCUGAAAAGGUUGAUCUGGAGAUGAUGUGGGAGGUGCAGGACCUCCAUUG